GAGUUUGAUCAUGGCUCAGAUUGAACGCUGGCGGCAUGCCUAACACAUGCAAGUCGAACGGUAACGACGGGAGCUUGCUCCCGGGCGACGAGUGGCGGACGGGUGAGUAAUACUUAGGAAUCUGCCCAGUAGUGGGGGACAACCAGGAGAAAUCCUGGCUAAUACCGCAUACGCCCUACGGGGGAAAGCGGGGGAUCUUCGGACCUCGCGCUAUUGGACGAGCCUAAGUCGGAUUAGCUUGUUGGUGAGGUAAUAGCUCACCAAGGCGACGAUCCGUAGCUGGUCUGAGAGGACGAUCAGCCACACUGGGACUGAGACACGGCCCAGACUCCUACGGGAGGCAGCAGUGGGGAAUAUUGGACAAUGGGCGCAAGCCUGAUCCAGCAAUGCCGCGUGUGUGAAGAAGGCCUGCGGGUUGUAAAGCACUUUCAGUAGAGAAGAAAAGCCUAGGGUUGAUACCCCUGAGUCUUGACGUAACCUACAGAAGAAGCACCGGCUAACUCCGUGCCAGCAGCCGCGGUAAUACGGAGGGUGCGAGCGUUAAUCGGAAUUACUGGGCGUA
rnacentral:rRNA from 1 species